CAGCAAUCUCAGCUUGUUUUUGCAUAAAAGUUGCUUCCAGGUUCAAGCAAUACUGAUGUUUCUUAAAGUAAGGAAAUCGAAGGGAAACGGGUAAUUUUCAGCCAAUGACUGAGAGAAAAAGAUCGGCGGGGUGGAAGGGGGGGGGGGGCUCAAUCGGCGGUCCCCAUACCCCUGCCUCCCCUGAAUUCGAACCCUAGUUACGGCC
rnacentral:lncRNA from 1 species